AGCUUUAUAGUUUAAAAAAAACUAUAAUUUUGUAAAUUAUAAAUAAAUAACUAAGUUUUAAAGCUA
rnacentral:tRNA from 1 species